rnacentral:rRNA from 1 species
GAGUUUGAUCAUGGCUCAGAUUGAACGCUGGCGGCAGGCCUAACACAUGCAAGUCGAGCGGUAACAGGAGAGCUUGCUCUCGCUGACGAGCGGCGGACGGGUGAGUAACGCGUGGGAAUCUGUCCAUAGGUGGGGGAUAACUUGGGGAAACUCAAGCUAAUACCGCAUAUUACCUGAGGGUAAAAGGGUGCCUCUUCUUGAAAGCACUCGCCAAUGGAUGAGCCCGCGUCGGAUUAGCUAGUUGGUAGGGUAAAGGCCUACCAAGGCGACGAUCCGUAGCUGGUCUUAGAGGAUGAUCAGCCACACUGGGACUGAGACACGGCCCAGACUCCUACGGGAGGCAGCAGUGGGGAAUAUUGGACAAUGGGGGGAACCCUGAUCCAGCCAUGCCGCGUGUGUGAAGAAGGCUUUAGGGUUGUAAAGCACUUUAAGCUGU